rnacentral:rRNA from 1 species
GAGUUUGAUCCUGGCUCAGGACGAACGCUGGCGGCGUGCUUAACACAUGCAAGUCGAACGAGAUCCAUCCAGUAGCAAUACUGGUGAAGAUCUAGUGGCGAACGGGUGCGUAACACGUGAGGAACUUGUCCCGGUCUCUGGGAUAACAGUUGGAAACGACUGCUAAUACCGGAUGACGUCGGAGUGUCGCAUGGCACGCUGACGAAAGGGUUACCGGAUCGGGAGAGCCUCGCGGCCUAUCAGCUUGUUGGUGGGGUAAUGGCCUACCAAGGCAUCGACGGGUAGCUGGUCUGAGAGGAUGAUCAGCCACACUGGGACUGAGACACGGCCCAGACUCCUACGGGAGGCAGCAGUGGGGAAUCUUGCACAAUGGGCGAAAGCCUGAUGCAGCAACGCCGCGUGCGGGAAGAAGGCCCUCGGGUUGUAAACCGCUUUCAGAAGGAACGAAACUGACGGUACUUUCAGAAGAAGGUGCGGCCAACUACGUGCCAGCAGCCGCGGUAUUC